UUUUGCAAAUUCCGUGCUGAC
rnacentral:piRNA from 1 species